rnacentral:rRNA from 1 species
GAGUUUGAACCUGGCUCAGGAUGAACGCUGGCGGCGUGCCUAACACAUGCAAGUCGAACGGGAUAAGAGAUGCUUGCAUUUCUUAUCAAGUGGCGGACGGGUGAGUAACGCGUGGAUAAUCUGCCCCACACAGGGGGAUAACAGCCGGAAACGGCUGCUAAUACCGCAUAGACUGAGCUCUCACAUGAGAGAACAGGGAAAGAUUUAUCGGUGUAGGAUGAAUCCGCGUCCGAUUAGCUAGUUGGAGGGGUAACGGCCCACCAAGGCGACGAUCGGUAGCCGGCCUGAGAGGGCGACCGGCCACAUUGGGACUGAGACACGGCCCAGACUCCUGCGGGAGGCAGCAGUGGGGAAUAUUGCACAAUGGGGGGAACCCUGAUGCAGCGACGCCGCGUGAGUGAAGAAGUAUUUCGGUAUGUAAAGCUCUAUCAGCAGGGACGAAGAUGACGGUACCUGCAGAAGAAGCCCCGGCUAACUACGUGCCAGCAGCCGCGGUAAUACGUAGGGGGCAAGCGUUAUCCGGAUUUACUGGGUGUAAAGGGAGCGUAGACGGCAGGGCAAGCCAGAAGUGAAAACGCAGAGCUUAACUUUGCGACUGCUUUUGGAACUGCCCAGCUAGAGUACAGGAGAGGUAAGUGGAAUUCCUAGUGUAGCGGUGAAAUGCGUAGAUAUUAGGAGGAACACCAGUGGUGAAGGCGGCUUACUGGACUGAGACUGACGUUGAGGCUCGAAAGCGUGGGG